AUCGGUGGUUCAGUGGAAGAAUGCUUGCCUGCCACGUGGGCGGCCCAGGUUCGGGUUCCGGCGCGAUG